AGAGUUUGAUCCUGGCUCAGAUUGAACGCUGGCGGCAUGCCUUACACAUGCAAGUCGAACGGCGGCAUGAUCUAGCUUGCUAGAUUGAUGGCGAGUGGCGAACGGGUGAGUAAUACAUCGGAACGUGCCCUGUAGUGGGGGAUAACUAGUCGAAAGAUUAGCUAAUACCGCAUACGACCUGAGGGUGAAAGUGGGGGACCGCAAGGCCUCAUGCUAUAGGAGCGGCCGAUGUCUGAUUAGCUAGUUGGUGGGGUAAAGGCCUACCAAGGCGACGAUCAGUAGCUGGUCUGAGAGGACGAUCAGCCACACUGGGACUGAGACACGGCCCAGACUCCUACGGGAGGCAGCAGUGGGGAAUUUUGGACAAUGGGCGAAAGCCUGAUCCAGCAAUGCCGCGUGUGUGAAGAAGGCCUUCGGGUUGUAAAGCACUUUUGUCCGGAAAGAAAUGGCUCUGGUUAAUACCUGGGGUCGAUGACGGUACCGGAAGAAUAAGGACCGGCUAACUACGUGCCAGCAGCCGCGGUAAUACGUAGGGUCCAAGCGUUAAUCGGAAUUACUGGGCGUAAAGCGUGCGCAGGCGGUUGUGCAAGACCGAUGUGAAAUCCCCGAGCUUAACUUGGGAAUUGCAUUGGUGACUGCACGGCUAGAGUGUGUCAGAGGGGGGUAGAAUUCCACGUGUAGCAGUGAAAUGCGUAGAGAUGUGGAGGAAUACCGAUGGCGAAGGCAGCCCCCUGGGAUAACACUGACGCUCAUGCACGAAAGCGUGGGGAGCAAACAGGGUUAGAUACCCUGGUAGUCCACGCCCUAAACGAUGUCAACUAGUUGUUGGGGAUUCAUUUCCUUAGUAACGUAGCUAACGCGUGAAGUUGACCGCCUGGGGAGUACGGUCGCAAGAUUAAAACUCAAAGGAAUUGACGGG
rnacentral:rRNA from 1 species